rnacentral:rRNA from 1 species
CCAAGUUAAUAAGAGCUAUUGGCGGAUGCCUUGGCUCAUGGAGGCGAAGAAGGACGUGAUAAGCUGCGAUAAGCUCCGGGGAGCUGCACAUAAGCAAAGAUCCGGAGAUAUCCGAAUGGGGAAACCCGGUAGAGUAAUAGACUACCAUUGCAUGCUGAAUACAUAGGUAUGCAAAGCGACACCUGCCGAACUGAAACAUCUAAGUAGCCAGAGGAAAAGAAAUCAAACGAGAUACCCUAAGUAGCGGCGAGCGAACGGGGAAGAGCCUAAACCGAGCUGAUAAGUCUCGGGGUUGUAGGAUUGAGGAUAAAGGAUCAGAACUCCUAGUUGAACACAUCUGGAAAGAUGGAUGAUACAGGGUGAUAGUCCCGUAGACGAAAGGAGAGAAAGACCGACCUCAACACCUGAGUAGGACUAGACACGAGAAACCUUGUGGGAAGCAGGGGGGACCACCCUCCAAGCCUAAAUACUAUUCGGUGACCGAUAGUGAACCAGUACCGUGAGGGAAAGGUGAAAAGAACCCCGGGUAGGGGAGUGAAAUAGAACCUGAAACCAGUCGCUUACAAGCGGUCGGAGACCAAUGGCCCGUAAGGGUCAAGGUUGACGGCGUGCCUUUUGCAUAAUGAACCUACGAGUUACCAUCUCCGGCGAGGUUAAGUGGCAUCAUCCACGCAACCGCAGUGAAAGCGAGUUUUAAAAGAGCGAAGAGUCGUUUGGUUUAGACCCGAAACCAAGUGACCUACCCAUGACCAGGUUGAAGCACGGGUAAAACUGUGUGGAGGACCGAACCAAUAAGCGUUGAAAAGCUUCUGGAUGAGGUGUGGGUAGGGGUGAAAGGCCAAUCAAACUUGGAGAUAGCUCGUUCUCCCCGAAAUAGCUUUAGGGCUAGCCUCGGAUGUUAAGCUGAGGAGGUAGAGCACUGGAUUAUUGCGGGGGCCUACCGGCUUACCAACGGAAAUCAAACUCCGAAUACCAGAAGCGAGUCCGGGAGAUAGACAGCGGGGGCUAAGCUUCGUUGUCGAGAGGGGAACAGCCCAGACCGCCGAUUAAGGUCCCUAAUUUUAUGCUAAGUGGGAAAGGAUGUGCUGAUUCGAAGACAGCUAGGAUGUUGGCUUAGAAGCAGCCAUUCAUUUAAAGAGUGCGUAACAGCUCACUAGUCGAGAGGCAUUGCGCCGACAAUAUACGGGGCUAAGCAUAAAACCGACAUCGCGGGUGUGUCGAUAAGACACGCGGUAGGAGAGCGUAGUAUUCAGCAGAGAAGGUGUACCGGAAGGAGGGCUGGAGCGGAUACUAGUGAAGAUCCAUGGCAUAAGUAACGAUAAAGGGAGUGAAAAUCUCCCUCGCCGUAAGCCCAAGGUUUCCAGGGUCAAGCUCGUCUUCCCUGGGUUAGUCGGCCCCUAAGUUGAGGCGUAACUGCGUAGACGAUGGAGCAGCAGGUUAAAUAUUCCUGCACCACCUAAAACUAUAGCGAAGGAAUGACGGAGUAAGUUAAGCACGCGGACGAUUGGAAGAGUCCGUAGAGCGAUGAGAACGGUUAGUAGGCAAAUCCGCUAACAUAAGAUCAGGUCGCGAUCAAGGGGAAUCUUCGGAGGAACCGAUGGUGUGGAGCGAGGCUUUCAAGAAAUAAUUUCUAGCUGUUGAUGGUGACCGUACCGAAACCGACACAGGUAGGCGAGGAGAGAAUCCUAAGGCGCGCGGGAGAACCUUCGUUAAGGAACUCGGCAAAAUAACCCCGUAACUUCGGGAGAAGGGGAGCCUUCUUAGGUGACUAUGGAACGAUAGGAGCCCCGGGGGGCCGCAGAGAAAUGGCUCAAGCAACUGUUUAGCAAAAACACAGGUCUAUGCGAAACCGGAAGGUGAAGUAUAUGGGCUGACGCCUGCCCGGUGCCGGAAGGUUAAGGGGAAAUGUUAGCCGCAAAGCGAAGCAGAGAAUUUAAGCCCCGGUAAACGGCGGCCGUAACUAUAACGGUCCUAAGGUAGCGAAAUUCCUUGUCGGGUAAGUUCCGACCUGCACGAAUGGUGUAAUGAUUUGGACGCUGUCUCAACCAUGGACUCAGUGAAAUUGUAGUAUCGGUGAAGAUGCCGAUUACCCGCGAUGGGACGAAAAGACCCCGUGAACCUUUACUAUAGCUUUGGCAUUGACCUUGGUCAUCCGAUGUGUAGGAUAGGCCGGAGGCUAGGAACACUCUUCUUCAGGAGAGUGGGAGUCAACGUUGAAAUACUGGUCUUAACAAGCUGGGAAUCUAACAUUAUUCCAUGAAUCUGGAAGAUGGACAUUGCCAGACGGGCAGUUUUACUGGGGCGGUAUCCUCCUAAAAAGUAACGGAGGAGCCCAAAGCUUAUUUCAUCGUGGUUGGCAAUCACGAGUAGAGUGUAAAGGCAGAAGGGAGCUUGACUGCGAGACGGACAGGUCGAGCAGGGACGAAAGUCGGGCUUAGUGAUCCGGUGGUAGAGAGUGGAAUGGCCAUCGCUCAACGGAUAAAAGGUACCCCGGGGAUAACAGGCUGAUCUCCCCCAAGAGUUCAUAUCGACGGGGUGGUUUGGCACCUCGAUGUCGGCUCGUCACAUCCUGGGGCUGGAGAAGGUCCCAAGGGUUGGGCUGUUCGCCCAUUAAAGUGGCACGCGAGCUGGGUUCAGAACGUCGUGAGACAGUUCGGUCCCUAUCCAUCGUGGGCGCAGGAAAUUUGAGAGGAGCUGUCCCUAGUACGAGAGGACCGGGAUGGACGAACCGAUGGUGUACCAGUUGUCUCGCCAAUGGCAUAGCUGGGUAGCUACGUUCGGAAGGGAUAACCGCUGAAAGCAUCUAAGCGGGAAGCCUGCUCCAAGAUAAGGUAUCCCAAUGAGACUCCAUGUAGACUACGUGGUUGAUAGGUUGGAGGUGUAAGCACAGUAAUGUGUUCAGCUAACCAAUACUAAUAAGUCCAAAGACUUGGUCUU